UAUGAACACUAGGGGGGCCGCACGAUGCGGCUGAGAUGGAAGAAUGCGAUUCCGGACCCUUUGCACCUGAUCUGGAUCAUACCAGCGUAGGGAAGUGGCGCGUUUCAGCU
rfam:Paenibacillus sp. MAEPY2 contig13, whole genome shotgun sequence.